rnacentral:rRNA from 1 species
GAUGAACGCUGACAGAAUGCUUAACACAUGCAAGUCUUUGGCGAAGCUGUGCUUGCACAGCCUAGCCAAGGCGGACGGGUGAGUAACGCGUAAGGAACUUGCCCUGCAGUCAGGGAUAACAGACGGAAACGACUGAUAAGACCUGGUAAAGUCAGGCGGACUCAUGUCCAGCCUGAUGAAAAGAGAUGCUGCAGGAGAGCCUUGCGUCCUAUUAGCUUGUUGGUGGGGUAACGGCCCACCAAGGCGAUGAUAGGUAGCCGGCCUGAGAGGGUGGACGGCCACAAGGGGACUGAGAUACGGCCCUUACUCCUACGGGAGGCAGCAGUGGGGAAUAUUGGAAAAUGGGGGCAACCCUGAUCCAGCAAUUCUGUGUGCACGAUGAAGGUUUUCGGAGUGUAAAGUGCUUUCAGCAGGGAAGAAAAAAAUGACGGUACCUGCAGAAGAAGCGACGGCUAAAUACGUG